rnacentral:lncRNA from 1 species
GCGCUGCCACCAUCUCUGGAGGAGCUCAAGAUUAACAACAACAAGCUCAGUGCACUCACCCCUCACUGUUUCAAAGGUAGGAUUUGUGUUUGUGUAUAUGUGGAACAGAAACGUCUUUUCACCUCUAAUAUUCACUUAAUAUUCACCUCUAGGUUUGAUCAACCUGUUGAUUCUGGAGCUGGAGGAAAAUACUCUCCAUGAGGGCAGUGUGUCGCCACUAACCUUCAGACCACUAAAGAGACUUCUGGACCUCCAGCUGGACAACAACCGCUUUCGUUCCCUCCCCAUGGGCCUUCCUCCCUCUCUUCAGGAGCUGGAGAUGAAUGAAAAUCUGAUUGAGGAGGUGACAGAGGAGACCCUGAAGGGCUGUGUACAUUUAAAAGUGCUGGACCUGAGUCACAACCUUCUGCAUGAGCAAGGCAUCGCAACCCACGCCUGGUCCCGUCUCAAGACCCUGGAGGCCUUGGACCUUUCUUACAACCGGUUCACCUCGGUCCCAAUGGAUCUUCCACGGCGUCUUCAGAAACUGACCCUCC